rnacentral:rRNA from 1 species
ACUCAAAGGAAUAGACGGGGACCCGCACAAGCGGCGGAGCGUGUGGUUUAAUUCGAUGCGACGCGAAGCACCUUACCUGGGUUCAAUUGCAGAUGCACCAGGGGUAAUGCCCUGUCCCCGCAAGGGGCGUCUGUGACGGUGCUGCAUGGCUGUCGUCAGCUCGUGCCGUGAGGUGUUGGGUUAAGUCCCCUAACGAGCGCAACCCCCGUGGACGGUUAUACCUCCGUUCAGACUGCCGCGCACAACGCGGAGGAAGGUGGGGAUGACGUCAAGUCAGCACGGCCCUUACGCCCAGGGCCACACACACGCUACAAUGGGCUGGACAAUGGGCAGCAACAUGGCGACAUGAAGCGAAUCCCGCAAACCAGUCCUCAGUUCGGAUGGUAGGCUGCAACUCGCCUGCCUGAAGUCGGAGUCGCUAGUAACCGCCGGUCAGCACACGGCGGUGAAUACGUUCCCGGGUCUUGCACACACCGCCCGU